UUAAGUGACUAAGCGUACACGGUGGAUGCCUAGGCAGCCAGAGGCGAUGAAGGGCGUGCUAAUCUGCGAUAAGCGUCGGUAAGGUGAUAUGAACCGCAAUAACCGACGAUACCCGAAUGGGGAAACCCAGUGCAAUCCGUUGCACUAUCAUUAACUGAAUCCAUAGGUUAAUGAGGCGAACCGGGGGAACUGAAACAUCUCAGUACCCCGAGGAAAAGAAAUCAACCGAGAUUCCCCCAGUAGCGGCGAGCGAACGGGGAAGAGCCCAGAACCAACAUCAUCAGCAGCAUUAAUGGAAGCGUCUGGAAAGUCGCGCGAAACAGGGUGAUAGCCCCGUACAUGAAAGUGCAGUUGGUGUGAGUUCGAUGAGUAGGGCGGGACACGUGUUAUCCUGUCUGAAUAUGGGGGGACCAUCCUCCAAGGCUAAAUACUCCUGGCUGACCGAUAGUGAACCAGUACCGUGAGGGAAAGGCGAAAAGAACCCCGGCGAGGGGAGUGAAAUAGAACCUGAAACCGUGUACGUACAAGCAGUGGGAGCCUCUCUUUAUGGGGGGUGACUGCGUACCUUUUGUAUAAUGGGUCAGCGACUUAUAUUCUGUAGCAAGGUUAACCGUAUAGGGGAGCCGCAGGGAAACCGAGUCUUAACUGGGCGAAUGAGUUGCAGGGUAUAGACCCGAAACCCGGUGAUCUAGCCAUGGGCAGGUUGAAGGUUGGGUAACACUAACUGGAGGACCGAACCGACUAAUGUUGAAAAAUUAGCGGAUGACUUGUGGCUGGGGGUGAAAGGCCAAUCAAACCGGGAGAUAGCUGGUUCUCCCCGAAAGCUAUUUAGGUAGCGCCUCGUGAACUCAUCUUCGGGGGUAGAGCACUGUUUCGACUAGGGGGUCAUCCCGACUUACCAACUCGAUGCAAACUGCGAAUACCGAAGAAUGUUAUCACGGGAGACACACGGCGGGUGCUAACGUCCGUCGUGAAGAGGGAAACAACCCAGACCGCCAGCUAAGGUCCCAAAGUCAUGGUUAAGUGGGAAACGAUGUGGGAAGGCACAGACAGCCAGGAUGUUGGCUUAGAAGCAGCCAUCAUUUAAAGAAAGCGUAAUAGCUCACUGGUCGAGUCGGCCUGCGCGGAAGAUGUAACGGGGCUAAACCAUGCACCGAAGCUGCGGCAGCGACACUUAGGUGUUGUUGGGUAGGGGAGCGUUCUGUAAGCCUGCGAAGGUAGACUGUGAGGUCUGCUGGAGGUAUCAGAAGUGCGAAUGCUGACAUAAGUAACGAUAAAGCGGGUGAAAAGCCCGCUCGCCGGAAGACCAAGGGUUCCUGUCCAACGUUAAUCGGGGCAGGGUGAGUCGACCCCUAAGGCGAGGCCGAAAGGCGUAGUCGAUGGGAAACGGGUUAAUAUUCCCGUACUUGGUGUUACUGCGAAGGGGGGACGAAGAAGGCUAGGCCGGCCGGGUGACGGUUAUCCCGGUUUAAGCGUGUAGGUGGGCAGUCCUGGUAAAUCCGGUCUGCUGUUAACACUGAGGCGUGAUGACGAGUCUCUACGGAGAUGAAGUGGUUGAUGCCCUGCUUCCAGGAAAAGCCUCUAAGCAUCAGGUAACACGAAAUCGUACCCCAAACCGACACAGGUGGUCAGGUAGAGAAUACUCAGGCGCUUGGGAGAACUCGGGUGAAGGAACUAGGCAAAAUGGUGCCGUAACUUCGGGAGAAGGCACGCUGGCAAUAGGUGAAGUGGCUUGCCCAUGGAGCCGAAGCCAGUCGAAGAUACCAGCUGGCUGCAACUGUUUAUUAAAAACACAGCACUGUGCAAACACGAAAGUGGACGUAUACGGUGUGACGCCUGCCCGGUGCUGGAAGGUUAAUUGAUGGGGUUAGCGUAAGCGAAGCUCUUGAUCGAAGCCCCAGUAAACGGCGGCCGUAACUAUAACGGUCCUAAGGUAGCGAAAUUCCUUGUCGGGUAAGUUCCGACCUGCACGAAUGGCGUAAUGAUGGCCAGGCUGUCUCCACCCGAGACCCAGUGAAAUUGAACUCGCAGUGAAGAUGCUGUGUACCCGCGGCAAGACGGAAAGACCCCGUGAACCUUUACUAUAGCUUGACACGGAACAUUGAACCUUGAUGUGUAGGAUAGGUGGGAGGCUUUGAAGCAUGUACGCCAGUACGUGUGGAGCCAACCUUGAAAUACCACCCUUUAAUGUUUGAUGUUCUAACUUAGCCCCGUUAUCCGGGGUGAGGACAGUGUCUGGUGGGUAGUUUGACUGGGGCGGUCUCCUCCCAAAGAGUAACGGAGGAGCACGAAGGUUGGCUAAUCCUGGUCGGACAUCAGGAGGUUAGUGCAAAGGCAUAAGCCAGCUUGACUGCGAGAGUGACGGCUCGAGCAGGUACGAAAGUAGGUCUUAGUGAUCCGGUGGUUCUGAAUGGAAGGGCCAUCGCUCAACGGAUAAAAGGUACUCCGGGGAUAACAGGCUGAUACCGCCCAAGAGUUCAUAUCGACGGCGGUGUUUGGCACCUCGAUGUCGGCUCAUCACAUCCUGGGGCUGAAGUAGGUCCCAAGGGUACGGCUGUUCGCCGUUUAAAGUGGUACGCGAGCUGGGUUUAGAACGUCGUGAGACAGUUCGGUCCCUAUCUGCCGUGGGCGCUGGAAGAUUGAGGGGGGUUGCUCCUAGUACGAGAGGACCGGAGUGAACGCACCGCUGGUGUACGGGUUGUGAUGCCAAUUGCAUUGCCCGGUAGCUACGUGCGGAAGAGAUAACCGCUGAAAGCAUCUAAGCGGGAAACUUGCCCCGAGAUGAGUCUUCCCUGGGACAUUUAGUCCCCUAAAGGAACGUUAAAGACCAUGACGUAGAUAGGCUGGGUGUGUAAGUGCAGCGAUGUAUUGAGCUAACCAGUACUAAUGAACCGUGAGGCUUAACCUU
rnacentral:rRNA from 1 species